rnacentral:misc_RNA from 1 species
GAUGAAGAACGUAGUGAAAUGCGAUAAGUAAUGUGAAUUGCAGAAUUCAGUGAAUCAUCGAAUCUUUGAACGCACAUUGCGCCCGCCAGUAUUCUGGCGUGCAUGCCUGUUCGAGCGUCAUUUCAACCAUCAAGCCCCCGGCUUGUGUUGGGGACCUGCGGCUGCCGCAGGCCCUGAAAAGCAGUGGCGGGCUCGCUGUCACACCGAGCGUAGUAGCAUACAUCUCGCUCUGGGCGUGCUGCGGGUUCCGGCCGUUAAACCACCUUCAUAACCCAAGGUUGACCUCGGAUCAGGUAGGAAGACCCGCUGAACUUAAGCAUAUCAAUAAGCGGAGGA